AGUGAACGCUGGCGGUAGGCCUAACACAUGCAAGUCGAACGGCAGCACAGUAAGAGCUUGCUCUUACGGGUGGCGAGUGGCGGACGGGUGAGGAAUACAUCGGAAUCUACUUUUUCGUGGGGGAUAACGUAGGGAAACUUACGCUAAUACCGCAUACGACCUACGGGUGAAAGCAGGGGAUCUUCUGACCUUGCGCGAUUGAAUGCGCCGAUGUCGGAUUAGCUAGUUGGCGGGGUAAAGGCCCACCAAGGCGACGAUCCGUAGCUGGUGUGAGAGGAUGAUCAGCGACACUGGAGCUGAGACACGGUCCAGACUCCUACGGGAGGCAGCAGUGGGGAAUAUUGGACAAUGGGCGCAAGCCUGGUCCAGCCAUACCGCGUGGGUGAAGAAGGCCUUCGGGUUGUAAAGCCCUUUUGUUGGGAAAGAAAAGCAGCAGGUUAAUACCCCGCUGUCCUGACGGUACCCAAAGAAUAAGCACCGGCUAACUUCGUG
rnacentral:rRNA from 1 species